rnacentral:rRNA from 1 species
AGCGAACGCUAGCGGCAGGCUUAACACAUGCAAGUCGAGCGCCAGGUUUCGGCCUGGAGCGGCGAACGGGUGAGUAACACGUAGGUCACGUACCCUAUGGUGGGGAAUACCCCGGGGAAACUCGGAUCAAUGCCCCAUAUGUCCGAAAGGAUGAAAGCGCUUCGGCGCGCCAGAGGAUCGGCCUGCGGCCCAUUAUUUAAUCCUAGUUGGUGAGGUAACGGCUCACCAAGGGUACGAUGGGUAGCUGGUCUGAGAGGACGACCAGCCACACUGGAACUGAGACACGGUCCAGACUCCUACGGGAGGCAGCAGUGGGGAAUAUUGGACAAUGGGCGAAAGCCUGAUCCAGCCAUGCCGCGUGAGUGAUGAAGGCCUUCGGGUUGUAAAGCUCUGUCGUGGGGGAAGAAGUUCUGACGGUACCCCACAAGAAAGCACCGGCUAACUCCGUGCCAGCCGCCGCGGUAAUAC